GUGGGCGUAGCUCAACGGUUAGAGCAUCUGAUUGUGGAUCAGAAGGCUGUGGGUUCGAAACCCAUCGCCCACCCCA
rnacentral:tRNA from 1 species